UGGUCAAGUUAUUAAGGGUGCAGGGCGGAUGCCUUGGCACUAGGAGCCGAUGAAGGACGUGAUAAGCUGCGAUAAGCUUCGGGGAGUUGCACGUAAACUUUGAUCCGAAGAUUUCCGAAUGAGGAAACUCACUUAGAGUAAUGUCUAAGUAUCAUUAAGUGAAUACAUAGCUUAAUGAGGGGAACUCAGGGAACUGAAACAUCUAAGUACCUGAAGGAAGAGAAAGAAAUUCGAUUCCGUAAGUAGCGGCGAGCGAACGCGGAUUAGCCCAAACCAAUAAAGUUUUCUUUAUUGGGGUUGCGGACAUAUCAUAACGAAGAGGUAUCGUAAUUGAAGAGGUUUGGAAAGACCCACCACAGAAGGUAAUAGUCCUGUAUGUUAAACGAGAAGACUUCAGAUAUGAUCCAGAGUACCACGGGACACGUGAAACCCUGUGGGAAGCAGGAGGGACCACCCUCCAAGGCUAAAUACUACCUAGUGACCGAUAGCGUAUAGUACCGUGAGGGAAAGGUGAAAAGAACCCCGGGAGGGGAGUGAAAUNGAAGAGGUUUGGAAAGACCCACCACAGAAGGUAAUAGUCCUGUAUGUUAAACGAGAAGACUUCAGAUAUGAUCCAGAGUACCACGGGACACGUGAAACCCUGUGGGAAGCAGGAGGGACCACCCUCCAAGGCUAAAUACUACCUAGUGACCGAUAGCGUAUAGUACCGUGAGGGAAAGGUGAAAAGAACCCCGGGAGGGGAGUGAAAUAGAACCUGAAACCCUGCACUUACAAGCUGUGGAAGCACAUUUCUUGUGUGACCGCGUACUUUUUGUAGAACGGGCCAACGAGUUACGUUAAGUAGCAAGGUUAAGCACUUAAGGUGCGGAGCCGUAGCGAAAGCGAGUUUUAACUGAGCGUUCAGUUACUUGACGUAGACCCGAAACCGGGCGACCUACCCAUGAGCAGGAUGAAGCGAAAGUAAAAUUUCGUGGAGGUCCGAACCCACGAGCGUUGAAAAGCUCGGGGAUGACUUGUGGGUAGCGGUGAAAUUCCAAUCGAGCCCGGAGAUAGCUGGUUCUCCCCGAAAUAGCUUUAGGGCUAGCCUCAAGGUGAGAGAUACGGAGGUAGAGCACUGAAUGUCCUAGGGGGUAUUGCACCUACCGAAGACUAUCAAACUCCGAAUGCCGUCAUCUUAUACUUGGGAGUCAGACUGUGGGUGAUAAGAUUCAUAGUCGAAAGGGCAACAGCCCAGAUCGUCAGCUAAGGUCCCUAAAUGUAAGUUAAGUGGUAAAGGAUGUGGGAUUGCACAGACAACCAGGAUGUUGGCUUAGAAGCAGCCACUCAUUCAAAGAGUGCGUAAUAGCUCACUGGUCGAGUGAUCCUGCGCCGAAGAUUUCCGGGGCUAAAACUUACUACCGAAGCUACGGCAUCAUUAUGAUGGGUAGGGGAGCUUCCCAUACGGGUUGAAGCAUGACCGUAAGGACAUGUGGACAGUAUGGGAGUGAGAAUGUUGGCAUGAGUAGCGAGAUGUGGGUGAGAAUCCCACAGGCCGUAAACCCAAGGUUUCCAGGGGAAGGUUCGUCCGCCCUGGGUUAGUCGGGACCUAAGCUGAGGCCGAAAGGCGUAGGUGAUGGACAACAGGUUGAUAUUCCUGUACUACCGAUAACCGUUUGAGAGAAGGGAUGACACAGUAGGAUAAGCUAAGCACACUGUUGGUUAUGUGUGCCCAAGCAUUGAGGCAGUCAAAGCAGGCAAAUCCGCUUUGAUAAUGCUGGGAUGUGAUGGGGAGCGAAAUUUAGUAGCGAAGUAGCUGAUUUCACACUGUCAAGAAAAGUCUCUAUCGAGGUUAAAGGUACCCGUACCGCAAACCGACACAGGUGGGUGAGGAGAGUAUCCUAAGGCCAGCGAGAGAACUGUUGUUAAGGAACUCGGCAAAAUGACCCCGUAACUUAGGGAUAAGGGGUGCCACCAUCCGGUGGCCGCAGAGAAUAGGCCCAAGCGACUGUUUACCAAAAACAUAGGUUUCUGCUAAGUCGCAAGACGAUGUAUAGGAGCUGACGCCUGCCCGGUGCUGGAAGGUUAAGGGGAUCUGUUAGAGCAAUCGAAGCAGUGAACUUAAGCCCCAGUAAACGGCGGCCGUAACUAUAACGGUCCUAAGGUAGCGAAAUUCCUUGUCGGGUAAGUUCCGACCCGCACGAAAGGCGUAACGAUUUGGGCACUGUCUCAACAACAGACUCGGUGAAAUUGUAAUUCCGGUGAAGAUGCCGGAUACCUGCGACAGGACGGAAAGACCCCAUGGAGCUUUACUGUAGCUUGACAUUGGGUCUUGGUACUACAUGUACAGGAUAGGUGGGAGGCUUUGAAACCAGGACGCCAGUUUUGGCGGAGCCAUCCUUGGGAUACCACCCUUGUAGUACUGGGACUCUAACCAUAGGCCAUGAAUCUGGUCUUGGGACACUGUCAGGUGGGCAGUUUGACUGGGGCGGUCGCCUCCCAAAAGGUAACGGAGGCGCUCAAAGGUUCUCUCAGUACGGUCGGAAAUCGUACGUAGAGUGUAAAGGCAAAAGAGAGCUUGAUUGCAAGACAUACAGGUCGAGCAAGGAUGAAAAUCGGACUUAGUGAUCCGGUGGUUCUGCGUGGAAGGGCCAUCGCUCAACGGAUAAAAGCUACCCUGGGGAUAACAGGCUUAUCUCCCCCAAGAGUCCACAUCGACGGGGAGGUUUGGCACCUCGAUGUCGGCUCAUCACAUCCUGGGGCUGUAGUAGGUCCCAAGGGUUGGGCUGUUCGCCCAUUAAAGUGGUACGCGAGCUGGGUUCAGAACGUCGUGAGACAGUUCGGUCCCUAUCCGUCGCAGGCGUAGGAAAUUUGAGAAGACCUGUCCUUAGUACGAGAGGACCGGGAUGGACGUACCUCUGGUGUACCAGUUGU
rnacentral:rRNA from 1 species